UACGUAUGGUGCAAGCGUUAUCCGGAUUUACUGGGUGUAAAGGGAGCGCAGGCGGCACGGCAAGCCUGAUGUGAAAGCCCGCGGCCCAACCGCGGAACUGCAUUGGGAACUACCGGGCUGGAGUGCCGGAGAGGUAGGCGGAAUUCCUAGUGUAGCGGUGAAAUGCGUAGAUAUUAGGAGGAACACCAGUGGCGAAGGCGGCCUACUGGACGGUGACUGACGCUGAGGCUCGAAAGCGUGGGGAGCAAACAGG
rnacentral:rRNA from 1 species